rnacentral:misc_RNA from 1 species
GAUGAAGAACGCAGCGAAAUGCGAUACUUGGUGUGAAUUGCAGAAUCCCGUGAACCAUCGAGUUUUUGUAACGCAAGUUGCGCCCGAAGCCUUCUGGCCGAGGGCACGUCUGCCUGGGCGUCACGCAUCACGUCGCCCCCGCCGACAAUCCCUAUCGGGACCUGUCGGAUUGGGGCGGAAAUUGGUCUCCCGUGCCACGGCGCGGUUGGCCUAAAUAGAAGUCCCCUCAUGAGUGACGCACGACUAGUGGUGGUUGAUAAGGCCGUCGUAUCGUGUCGUGCGUUCGUUUCAUGUGGUUAGGACCGCUUAAAGACCCACGUGUGUUGUCCUGUGACAAUGCUUCGAUCGCGACCCCAGGUCAGGCGGGACUACCCGCUGAGUUUAAGCAUAUCAAUAAGCGGAGGA